rnacentral:rRNA from 1 species
AGUACAGUGGCGCACGGGUGAGUAACACGUGACUUAUCUACCCUCGAGUGGGGAAGUAACUCGGAACCGAGCUAAUACCGCAUAAUACCCACGGGUCAAAGGAGCAAUUCGCUUGAGGAGGAGGUCGCGGCCCGGACUUAGUUAGUUUGGCGGGGUAACGUAGGCCCCGACCCAAGACGGUGGAUCGGUAUCCGGCCUCGAGAGGGCGCACGGACACACUGGAACUGAAACACGGUCCAGACUCCUACGGGAGGCAGCAGUGGGGAAUUUUGCGCAAUGGGGGAAACCCUGACGCAGCAACGCCGCGUGGAGGAUGAAGUCUCUUGGGACGUAAACUCCUUUCGAUCGGGACGAUUAUGACGGUACCGGAAGAAGAAGCCCCGGCUAACUUCGUG